CAGUUUGUCCCCCAUAUUCUCAGAGUGCUUUUCUUCAUGGCCUCAUUUUGCUCAGAGUGAUUGUUGGAUGCCACCAGAGUUCACCCUCCCUUCCAGCCUGAGAAGCAAGAAGAUAGCCACGGAAAUGACUCAAGACUUCCUGAGGAGAUCCACUAGAGAGCGGCUUUCCUCCAUCUUCCCAGAAACUCCAAGAGCCACUGCCGACGUCUGUUAGAAUUGAGCCAAGAAGAAAGAUGGCUUUGGAUGGCAGCCAAAAGCAGAAAAAUGCUGCAGCCAACGCACAGCUGUAUUCCACUUGGGGAAAGCUGCUUCUGUUGGGGACUGGACACACUCAGGACUCUACCUGCGCAAGGUUUCUGUCUUUCAGUAGAGUUUAUUUGCCCAGAGUCUGAACUUCGGUCCCCGGAUUCCCACACCCGAUGCUUCCUCUCUCUGCUCACUUGGCUGCAGCACAGUUUUGCUUCCUGUCCAGCUUCUGCUUCAUCUCCUGCUCUCACCUGAUCCUCUAAUUCUCAUUUAGCCCAAUUAUCUUUGACCAAUCAAAAAGUUCUCCAGAUGGGACUUGAGGAAGAAGUUUGAGAGUGAAUGAUGGGUUGGCAAGAGCUUCAGGUAGGCAGUGUUGUGGUCAGGUAAGGGAAAGGCUGAAGGGGAUCAAAGGGAAACAAAAUCCUCCUUUCUUAGUCUUUAUUUAUUUUUUUGAGUGCAGCAGGGCAACUGGUCUACCUGACUAGAUAUCUUCGCACAAGACAAGCAGGAAGAGAACUGACAUUUGUUAAGUAAUGUUUGGGUUAGUUUAAAACCAUCAUAUUACUAUUGAUUUACUCCUUAUAGCCAUAGUAUCAGUCAUCUCUAUUUUACUUUUAUUGCUGAGAAAAUUGGGGGUCAGGAUAUUUUAUUCUUCCUUUUUCAUUUCUUCAAAAAGAACAUUUCUUGAAUGUCUAGGGGGAGCUAGUCUCUGUGUUAGCCACUGGGAACAGAGCAGUGCACCAGAAAUACAUUUUCUGUGGCUUCAUGAUACUUAAAAUCUGGCACUAGUAAAAGACAUUGGUUAAAUAACCACAGAAUAAAAGUAAAAAUAAAGGCUGUAAAAAGUCCUGCCACGGAAAGGCACUCACUGGUCAUGUGAAACAUAAUUUGCCAAAUCUGAGGGAACUUCUUUGAGGAUGUGAAAUCUGGCUGAGUAGGAAGUAACUAGAGAAAACUGGGAAGAUUAGUUCAGACAGAGGGACCUGUGCAUAUGUAGCCCCUAUAGAAGAAGGAAAGAAUAUAGUAUAUUAAACAAAUAGAAACAAAACAAAAACACUUAAGCCAGUUAGCUAGAGUAUGAUGAGAGAUGAGGCAAUUAGAUCAAGAUGGC